AUGGUUCAAAUGUCCAUGCUUGGUUUCUUUUUCCCCAUUGCUAUGUUUCCUCCUUCCGCUCCAACGACAGUUUUACUUGCCAUUUCUAUUCCCCUGUCAGCAGCAUUCGUCGUCGUCUCUGGCUCGGGCGCUUCUGAAACUCUGUUUAACUGUACUUCCCAGGAGCUUGUUCAGCAAUGUCAAUACAUUAUGGAAUCAAUGGGGAACAGGAAGAAGACAAGCAGGAAACUCAUGAAAGGAAGCAUGCCAGUGGUACAAGGAAAAGAGGUGGAUGUUGGUGAUCUACCCUCUUACAUGGAAGAUGUUUUUGUCAAAAUUGAGUGUGACACUAAGACACUGAGCAAGCUCAGAAUGGGAUAAUCCGAGGAUUUGAGGAGCCAACACUUCUGAUUGUUUAUAG
rnacentral:lncRNA from 1 species